GCCAUUUGUAGUUCUCUUAAAAAUGUCUGAUAAGUUCAUUAGCCCAUUUAUAGAUUGGAUUACUUGUAUUUUUUUAGAUUUAUUUAUUUAUUAUGAGCAGUGUUCUGCCUGCAUAUAUGCCUGCAUUCCAGAAGAGGGCACCAGAUCUUAUUAUAGAUGGUUAUGAGUCACCAUGUAGUUGCUGAGGAUUGAACUCAGGACCUCUGGAAGAGCAGACAGGUCUCUUAACUGCUAAACCAUCUCUCUUACCCCACAUCAAUACUUUUUUUUUUCAGAGCUGGGGACGGAACCCAGGGCCUUGCGCUUGCUAGGCAAGCGCUCUACCACUGAGCUAAAUCCCCAACCCCACAUCAAUACUUCUUGAACUGUUCCACAAGACAGAAAGGUCCCGAAUGAAGUACCACAUCAAUUCCACAAACUCUUUCUGUGAUUCCAGUGUUACCCUGACACCAAAACUGGAUAAGCACAAAAAACUACGCCAAAGAAUGACGCCCUGGACUCAGAGAGUAUGUAAACGCAAAAAGUGUUUUAUUCUGCAGAAGUCCAGCAUGCUGGGGUCUCCCCAUUACCAAGAUAGAGAAACAAGUGAGCUUCAAAGGCUCCAUUUAAGGCACAUUGGAAUUCCUAGGCUGUCCCCUCAAGGUACAAUGAGAAGGCAACUGCUUUCUAUGCUGCUGCUGCUGUAGGAAGUGAGCAGAGCAUUUGACACCAUGCCUAGCACAGAAGAACAGCUGGGUACGUAUGUAGGAUUCCAGAUGUUAGUCUCUGUAUUUUUAAACUGUUUCUGCCUUGUUAGCGCUAAUUCUAGCCACAUGUUCAGUAUGAAGGCAUGCAAUCUUAUGUCAUGAUCCUGAUCAUGAUCCGAGAAAUCUGAAAAGAAAUCUCGGUUGUGAGGUGAAUGGCUUGAGGAAUGAUGCUGCAUCUCUUCAUUUUCUUUUAACCAAGUCAUAAAUCUAAUUGCAAAAUCAAAAAAAAAAAAUCUCAUUCACACCUCUGCUAUCAACUCCCAGAUCUCAAAUUGAGCCCCAUUCACACAGUACAUUCAGGGGUCAUUAAUGAGUGAACAGCAACAACAAAUUAGAGAAAUAAUGUGAUACGAAGAAGUGGAGACUUACCACAGCCACGGUCACUGCCUUCCAGAAGCUUCUAGGCAUUGUAGUUUGCUAAGGACUUUGGAAGCAGAAAAUUGUAGAAGAUGUUUCUCUAUUUUCAGGUCUGCAGCUGAUUUUUUUCAAAUGUCUUUCUUUGGUUAGCUCAGAGGCAAAAUAAGAAACGAUAGUGUGCAAACAUCUCCCUCAGGUUUGCAGUGUCUCAUUAUACAUUAAACCUAUCUCAAAAUGCCGCUCUAGUUAUGCAUCUGUGGGGGAAGUAUUGUCUUCCCCCAAGGCAUGCUCUUUCUUUGGUCAGAUAGGAGAUUCGAGGGGGUGGGGUGGGACUAGAAAGACAAUUUUUGUUUUCCUAGUAGUGGGAGUCAAGUACGCACUGAGGAAAUAUUUGUCAUGCUUGCCACAUUUUUGUCAUAGCCUUGUCUAACAGAAGCAGGGGCCAGCCUAGAUGAGAGAAGAAUGGCUGCUGUGUAUGGCAGCAGGGAAAGUGCCCUGGCUGCCCGACUCUCUUCCAGGACUGCCAGGACAAUCUUUGUAAACACAGCUUUGCUAUCCUGCGUAAUUCAGGAUUUUUCUUUUCUGCUUCUUUGUUUGAUGUUUAUUCUGUUGUUAUUGAUUGCCUUUAUUUUUUUUUUUUGAGGAAAGGUUUCUUGAUGUAGCUGAGACUGUCCUCAAACUUAAGAAUCUCUUGAGUGCUAGUUAUCCAAGUAUGUACCACCAUAACUAAACUUCACAUUUUCUUGAAGUCUUUGUAGACUGCUUGACAUUCAUGGUUUCCAACCAGCCUCCAGGAUUUCUCCUCCCAAAGCACCUAUCUUAACUAGGGUUUUACUGCUGUGAACAGACACCAUGACCAAGGCAAGUCUUAUAAGAUCAACAUUUAAUUGGGGCUGGUUUAGAGGUUCAGAGAUUCAGUCCAUUAUCAUCAAGGCAGAAGCAUGGCAGCAUCCAGGCAGGCAUGGUGCAGGAGGAGCUGAGAGGUCUACAUCUUCAUCUGAAGGCUGCUAGGAGAAGACUGACUUCCAGACAAGUAGGACAAGGGUAUUAAAGCCCAGGCCCACAGUGAUACAUCUACUCCGACAAAGCUACACCUCCUAAUAAUACCACUCCCUAGGCCUAGCAUAUACAAACCAUCCCACUCCCUCCUCCCUCAGGCACAUGAGUCUAUGGGAGGAGGGGGGCAUACAUAUAAUUUUUAAAAAGUACAUUUAUUGCAACUUCAAAACUCCCCAUAGCCUAUAGCAGUCUCAAUAAUGUUAAAAGUGCAAAGUUCAAAGUCUCUUCUGAGAUUCAUCCAAUCACUUAACUGUAAGCCCCAAAGCAGGACAGAAAACCAGCUGGGAAUACUCCAAACUCUGCAUCUCUGUGUCUGAUGUCAAAGCAGUCUUCAGAUCCUUUUUUCAUCUUUGUUGACUGCAGCAAACUUGUUUCUCCUGGGCUGGUUCCACUUCCUGCUAGCAGCUUCCCUCAGCAGAUAGACCAUGGCUCGGAUAUCGUUAACAUCUUGGGGCCUCCCAGUCAACUAACAUCACAGCUUCUUCUUCUUCUUUUGUUUAAUAGACUUUGUUGUCUGGUUAAGUCUCAUGAAGAACAUUUGGGGUGGGGGACUCAUAAGUAAAAUUUUUAAUUACAUUUUAAAUGUUAUCCCAUUUCCUGGCUUCCCCUCCAGAAACCCCCUAUCCCACCCCCAACCCCCGCUUCUAUCAGGGUGCUGCCUCACACACAUACCCACUCCCUCCCAGACAUUCCCCUACACUGGGACAUCUAGCCUUGACAGGACCAAGGGCUUCCCCUCCCAUAUGCAGCUGGAGCCAUGGGUCUGUCCAUGUGUAUGUAGUCUUUGGGUAGUGGUUUAGUCCCUUGGAACUCUGGUUGACAGGUAUUAUUGUUCUUAUGGAGUUAUAAGCCCCUCCAGAUCCUUCAAUCCUUUCUCUAAUUGCUCCUACGGAGACCCCACUCUCAGUCCAGUGGUUUGCUGCUAGCAUUCACCUCUGUAUUUGUCAUGCUCUGGCUGAGCCUCUCAGGAGAAAGCUAUAUCAGGCUCCUGUCACCGUGCCCUUCUUGGCAUCCAUAAUAUUGUCUGGGUUUGGUGGCUGUAUAUGGGAUGCAUCCCUAUGUGAGGCAGUCUCUGGAUGACCUUUCCUUCAGUCUCUGCUCCAUAUUUUGUCACUGUAUUUCCUCUUGUGAAUAUUUUUGCUCCCCCUUCUAAGAAGGUCUGAAGCAUCUACACUUUGGUCUUCCUUCUUCUUGAGCUUCAUGCGGUUUGUGAAUUGUAUCUUGGGUAUUCCAAGCUUUGGGGUUAAUAUCCACAUAUCAGUGAGUACAGUACAUACCAUGUGUAUUCUUUUGUGAUUGGGUUACCUCACUCAGGAUGAUAUUUUUUAAGUUCCAUCCAUUUGCUUAAGAAUUUCACAAAAUCUGGGCUGGAGAGAUGGCUCAGCGGUUGAGAGCACCCGACUACUCUUCCAGAGGUCCUGAGUUCAAUUCCCAGCAACCACAUGGUGGCUCACAACCAUCGGUAAAGAGAUCCGAUGCCCUCUUCUGGUGUAUCUGAAGACAGCUACAGUGUACUUAUAUAUAAUAAAUGAAUAAAUCUUUAAAAAAAA